UACGUAGGUGGCGAGCGUUGUCCGGAUUUACUGGGCGUAAAGAGUGUGUAGGCGGUGCUCCCAGUCUGUUGUGAAAUCUCCCGGCUUAACUGGGAGGGUGCAGCGGAAACUAGAGUGCUAGAGGGUGGGAGAGGUAAGCGGAAUUCCUGGUGUAGCGGUGAAAUGCGUAGAUAUCAGGAGGAACACCUGUGGUGUAGACAGCUUACUGGACCACUUCUGACGCUGAGACACGAAAGCGUGGGUAGCAAACAGG
rnacentral:rRNA from 1 species